UACAGAGACUGCAAGCGUUAUUCGGAUUCACUGGGCGUAAAGGGUGCGCAGGCGGCCAAGUGUGUGAGGCGUGAAAGCCUGGAGCUUAACUCCAGAAUUGCACCUCAAACUACAUGGCUAGAGCAUUGGAGAGGGUAGCGGAAUUCACGGUGUAGCAGUGAAAUGCGUAGAUAUCUGGAGGAACACCGGUGGCGAAGGCGGCAUCCUGGACCAAUAUUGACGCUGAGGAGCGAAAGCCAGGGGAGCAAACGGG
rnacentral:rRNA from 1 species